UACGGAGGGUGCGAGCGUUGUCCGGAAUCACUGGGCGUAAAGGGCGCGUAGGUGGCGCGGGCAGUCAACGGUGAAAGUUCGGGGCUCAACCCUGAAUCGGCCGUCGAUACUCCCGGGCUUGAGCACUGUAGAGGCAGAUGGAAUUCCGGGUGUAGCGGUGGAAUGCGUAGAGAUCCGGAAGAACACCGGUGGCGAAGGCGACACACUGGGCCAUUACUGACGCUGAGGCGCGAAAGCGUGGGGAGCAAACAGG
rnacentral:rRNA from 1 species